rnacentral:rRNA from 1 species
CCUACGGGGGGCUGCAGUGGGGAAUAUUGCACAAUGGGCGCAAGCCUGAUGCAGCCAUGCCGCGUGUGUGAAGAAGGCCUUCGGGUUGUAAAGCACUUUCAGUGGGGAGGAAGGCGUUAAGGUUAAUAACCUUGUCGAUUGACGUUACCCGCAGAAGAAGCACCGGCUAACUCCGUGCCAGCAGCCGCGGUAAUACGGAGGGUGCAAGCGUUAAUCGGAAUUACUGGGCGUAAAGCGCACGCAGGCGGUCUGUCAAGUCGGAUGUGAAAUCCCCGGGCUCAACCUGGGAACUGCAUUCGAAACUGGCAGGCUAGAGUCUUGUAGAGGGGGGUAGAAUUCCAGGUGUAGCGGUGAAAUGCGUAGAGAUCUGGAGGAAUACCGGUGGCGAAGGCGGCCCCCUGGACAAAGACUGACGCUCAGGUGCGAAAGCGUGGGGAGCAAACAGGAUUAGAUACCCGAGUAGUC